rnacentral:rRNA from 1 species
GUCUUAAAGAUUAAGCCAUGCAUGUCUAAGUAUAAAUAGUAUACAGUGAAACUGCGAAUGGCUCAUUAAAACUAGUUAUUAGUUUAUUUGAUAAUUGAAUUCUACAUGGAUAACCGUAGUAAUUCUAGAGCUAAUACAUGCUGUAAAACCUGACUUUUCGGAAAGGUUGUAUUUAUUAGAUAUCAAACCAAUAAUCUUUCGGGAUUAUUGUGAUGAUUCAUAAUAACUGAUCGGAUCAAGGUGUACCUUGAUAGAUCAUUCAAGUUUCUGCCCUAUCAGCUUUCGAUGGUAGUGUAUUGGACUACCAUGGCAGUCACGGGUAACGGAGAAUUAGGGUUCGAUUCCGGAGAGGGAGCCUGAGAAACGGCUACCACAUCUACGGAAGGCAGCAGUCGCGUAAAUUACCCAAUCCUGAUUCAGGGAGGUAGUGACAAGAAAUAACAACUCGGGGCCUCACGGCUUACGAGAUUGCAAUGAGAACAAUUUAAAUCUCUUAGCAAGG